CCUACGGGGUGCAGCAGUGGGGAAUAUUGCACAAUGGGCGCAAGCCUGAUGCAGCGACGCCGCGUGAGGGAUGACGGCCUUCGGGUUGUAAACCUCUUUCAGCACAGACGAAGCGCAAGUGACGGUAUGUGCAGAAGAAGGACCGGCCAACUACGUGCCAGCAGCCGCGGUAAUACGUAGGGUCCGAGCGUUGUCCGGAAUUACUGGGCGUAAAGAGCUCGUAGGUGGUUUGUCGCGUUGUUCGUGAAAACUCACAGCUUAACUGUGGGCGUGCGGGCGAUACGGGCAGACUGGAGUACUGCAGGGGAGACUGGAAUUCCUGGUGUAGCGGUGGAAUGCGCAGAUAUCAGGAGGAACACCGGUGGCGAAGGCGGGUCUCUGGGCAGUAACUGACGCUGAGGAGCGAAAGCGUGGGGAGCGAACAGGAUUAGAUACCCCGGUAGUC
rnacentral:rRNA from 1 species